UAAUAAACCACACAUGCAUCUUAUGGCUUUCUAUUCCUAUGUGAGUUCUAAACACAUCAUGUAGGGUUUAAAGCCAUCGGAUACACAGUGGACGAUCA
ensembl:miRNA mir135a-2 microRNA mir-135a-2